GCUUGUCUCAAAGAUUAAGCCAUGCAUGUCUAAGUAUAAAUAAUUCUAUACUGUGAAACUGCGAAUGGCUCAUUAUAUCAGUUAUAGUUUAUUUGAUAGUCCCUUACUACUUGGAUAACCGUAGUAACUCUAGAGCUAAUACAUGCGCAAAUUCCCGACUGUCGCAAGGGAUGUAUUUAUUAGAUUAAAAACCAAUGCCCUCUGGGCUCUCUGGUGAUUCAUGAUAACUUCUCGAAUCGCAUGGCCUUGCGCCGGCGAUGGUUCAUUCAAAUUUCUUCCCUAUCAACUUUCGAUGUUUGGGUAGUGGCCAAACAUGGUUGCAACGGGUAACGGAGGGUUAGGGCUCGACCCCGGAGAAGGAGCCUGAGAAACGGCUACUACAUCCAAGGAAGGCAGCAGG
rnacentral:rRNA from 1 species